AUGGAUGGACCUCCCGGUUUUCCAGGCAUGAAAGGAAACCGAGGUUAUCCUGGACCAUCUGGGCUUCAAGGCCCAAAGGGUGACACUGGAUCUCCAGGACUGCAGGGUAUUCCGGGAGCUAAAGGUCCUUCCGGCAAAGAGGGGAGAGAUGGUGCCCCUGGCCUUCCUGGAAUUCCAG